rnacentral:rRNA from 1 species
AGCGAUCGCUGGCGGCAGGCCUAACACAUGCAAGUCGAACGAACCUUUCGGGGUUAGUGGCGGACGGGUGAGUAACACGUGGGAACGUGCCUUUAGGUUCGGAAUAACUCAGGGAAACUUGUGCUAAUACCGAAUGUGCCCUUCGGGGGAAAGAUUUAUCGCCUUUAGAGCGGCCCGCGUCUGAUUAGCUAGUUGGUUGAGGUAAUGGCUCACCAAGGCGACGAUCAGUAGCUGGUCUGAGAGGAUGAUCAGCCACAUUGGGACUGAGACACGGCCCAAACUCCUACGGGAGGCAGCAGUGGGGAAUCUUGCGCAAUGGGCGAAAGCCUGACGCAGCCAUGCCGCGUGAAUGAUGAAGGUCUUAGGAUUGUAAAAUUCUUUCACCGGGGACGAUAAUGACGGUACCCGGAGAAGAAGCCCCGGCUAACUUCGUG